rnacentral:rRNA from 1 species
AAUAGAUACCCGGGUAGUCCACGCCGUAAACGUUGGGCGCUAGAUGUGGGGACCAUUCCACGGUUUCCGCGUCGUAGCUAACGCAUUAAGCGCCCCGCCUGGGGAGUACGGCCGCAAGGCUAAAACUCAAAGGAAUUGACGGGGGCCCGCACAAGCGGCGGAGCAUGCGGAUUAAUUCGAUGCAACGCGAAGAACCUUACCAAGGCUUGACAUAUGCGAGAACGCUCUAGAAAUAGAGAACUCUUUGGACACUCGUAUACAGGUGGUGCAUGGUUGUCGUCAGCUCGUGUCGUGAGAUGUUGGGUUAAGUCCCGCAACGAGCGCAACCCUGUCGCAUGUUGCCAGCACGUAAUGGUGGGAACUCAUGUGAGACUGCCGGGGUCAACUCGGAGGAAGGUGGGGAUGACGUCAAAUCAUCAUGCCCCUUAUGUCUUGGGCUUCACGCAUGCUACAAUGGCCGGUACAAAGGGCUGCGAAACCGCAAGGUGGAGCGAAUCCCAAAAAGCCGGUCUCAGUUCGGA